AACUCUCACCCUUCCUGGCAGCAACUCUGUUCUGAAAAAAACAAACAAACAAGAGUCUUCAACCCUCGCAGCAGCAACGGGCAUCUGCACUGCCUGAAUGUCUGACUCUCUGAAUAUUUGAGGAUAUUCAUCACUGAAGAUGACCAACAGGGCUCUGAAAACCUGAAAGCAGAUGGAAGGUGACCCAAACUGUACAGUUUUGCUGCUGAGCUGAGGGGAGGUGUGAUGGCUGAAGGACUGUUACCUGAUAGGGCUGAUGGGAGACUGUCGUACCUUCUCUUCAUGCUCUGGCACUGGUUCCCAAUGAAAAUUUAGUUUCCAAUCAAAAACACCUCGAUGCAGGCCCACAGAGUGAUAGUACUGAAAAGUCUUCCAGUCUAUGACAUCUAUGACAGGACAGAAGCACACACCUGAAAUUCAAGCCAGCAGCAGCCUUCCUACUGAGAGCUGUAUGUAACCUUUACUCACUAACAGGAUGAGAAGUAAAAUAUCUGCAUCUAAAAGGUAGUGUCCUGAUGGACUCUCACAAGCAUGUUUCCUCUUUGAUAUGCUGAGCAAAAUGCAGCUAACAAGUUAAAUGGAUUUUAUGGCUAAACUUCAGAAGAAUGAAAAGUCAC